GAGACGAUGACGAUGAUGAAGCGCUUUCGGGUCUUGCGCCGGAAGGCUUGCUCUUCGAGCUCGUCGACUUUGCCGUAGCCUUUAAAGGAGGUCAUGGAGUCCAUAUUUUCUAGUGAACGACUGCUUUUGGUUUUGUUGGUUUUUUGCUUCUGGGUUUAGUUUUGGGUUGUGUCACUUGUGUGAGGGUUUAGUUUAGAGAAAGCUAAGAUUUUUGGGUUGCUUUUUAUAAAAGGGGUGGAAGUGAUGAGGAGGAGGAGGCCCCAGGAAGCCAUCACUUUCUUUCUAGGAUGAUGCUUCUGGAUUAAGAAUGUUAAUGUUAAUGUUAAUGUUAAUUUUAAGUUGAUUGAUUACAGUUUGUAGUUUAUGAUCGUGAUCCCUAUGACAAUAUGGGAAGAAAAUUGUGCUGCAAUGGUGAAAUGACUUUGUUACUGAGCAUAAUUAAUCCCAGCACGUUUUGAGUGGAUGUUUGUUUAUCUGAUGCUAAACAAGGCUGCAAUUGGACAGGUGGGAAUGUCAUUUGCUUCCUAAUAACAUGGCCUCACAUUGAAGAGUUAAACCUGUUUUACUUCCUUCGGGUGUCCGAAUAGUUGAAAGAAACUCUUGUUUGUGGGACAUUAGAUUUUUCUAAUCAUCACAUAUUAGACAUUAGACACAUGUAGUCGAUGAAUUCAAGUUUUAACUCAUAUAAAAUUUUAUAGGAAAAAUGCCUAAAUGGUCAGAAACAAGAAUUCAAAAACUUAUUUCAAUAAAAAUAAUAGUCAAACGUCCGUUUUAAUGAAUUAUAAGCAAAAGACAAAAUUAACCUUUGCAUAUUAUCUAGAAAUAAAACGUAGCCAUGUCUCUGGAUCAGAACCUCUNNNNNNNNNNNNNNNNNNNNCUCUCUCUCUCUCUCUCUCUCUCUCUCUCUCUCUCUCUCUCUCUCUCUCUCUCUCUCUCUCCCCCUUCCUUCACCAUCCUCGCCUCCGCCGUGCUGCUGCACCAUCUCUCCUCCGCCUGCGACGCCGGAAACACUAUCCAAAUCCAAAACGUCGGCGUUUGAUUCCUUCCUGGAGACCGAGCCCUCGUCGUCGCUCUGGCGCUCUUCACCCUUCGCUUGGCACUCGGUACUCUGUUCUCGUCAAUCAGUGCUCGGUGGUCGGCUGUUGGCCUUUGGCGCUCGCCGCUCGGCCUAACUGAAGCAGAUCUGGUCCUGAGCCUCCUCCUAAGCGCCGGCGACGAAUGUAGCAAUGAUUUUUUCAAGUCACAAGGUGAAAAGGUGAGUGGACUUGAGGAAGGUGUGAGGAUUCUAAGUUGCAGCGUCGCUAGCCUUCGGCAAAUUGGGGUCCCGAACAACGUCGUUGAGGACGGUGAGCUUUGCUGGGCGACGGAGGAAGGCUGGUUGUUGCUUAGUCUCUAAGAGGUAUGACGGUCAGAGGAAGACUGGUUCUGAGUUGUAUCGUAAGGUUGGACGCCGGAGUCGACGCCAACGCCGAUCGGGAAGUGUUUAGGCGCUAGCUUUGGGUGCCCAGAGCAAUUUUUUGGUUUGGGCUUGGGUCCUUGACAACGGGCUGGAGGUUUGGAUGCCCUUAUGGCCUCACAGUAAUGUUUCAACAUUUUAUUAGGGUUAGUAACUAUUAUUGGGGUCAAUAACUGGAUUAUGUUCCGGUAUUUCUUCUUAUUCUAUUACUAUAAGCUGAAAUAAGUUGAUUAUUGGGGGUAAGUAACUGAUUAUUAGAGGUUAGUAACACGAUUAUUAGGGGUCAGUAACUGAUUACUGGGGGUCAGUAACUGAUUACUGGGGGUCAGUAACUGGUUACUGGGUGUUAGUAACUAAUCAGUAACUGGUUACUGGGGGUCAAUAAUUGGUUACUGGGGGUCAGUAACUGGUUACUGGGUGUCAGUAACUGAUCAAUAACUGGUUACUAGGUGUCAGUAACUGGUUACAGGAGAAAUUUUGGUGACCGGAGUCCCGCGGCCGGUGACCGGAGUCCGACGGCAGGUGACCGGAGUCCGACGGCCGGUUACUAGAGUCCGGUGAGAUUCUGGCCAAGUAUUCUCUCUUUCAUUUUCUCUCUAUGCAUGUUUAAGGGGUGAGGGUAAAAUAGUCUUAAAAUAAUAUGAUUUGUUAAGACUUUAGUAAAGAUUUGUGCAUUUGGGCAUAAAUAUUUGUGUAUUUGGGCAUAAAAAAACUUACUUUAUAUUGAAAUGGGCUAAUGAAAAAGAUUAUCAUUGGAAUGAGAAAUAAAGGAUUUAAAUUAAUACUAAAUGAGUAUUUUCCCUUCUAUAAUAUUUGUUUAUUCAGUAAAGAAUGUUGAAAGUAACGAGAUAUCAUGCCUAAUUGGGUUUUCAACUAUUAGAUCCCUCUUGCUAUUGAUCUUCUCAUCACAUUUGGACAUUUGAAUCGGUUCCGAUUCAUAGAAGACUUUCCCUGAACAUAGAUCAGAACUUGUUGUCCAUGCUGUCACAUGUUAGUUAAAUUUAUGUAGCAUAUACACCUUGAUUGGUUUUCCACACUAAGUAGAUUUUAAGCCUAUAAUCACGGUUCAUCUCACAGAGAUCAUUAUCCAAGUUUUGAAGAUUGUAUUUUUUUUUUUUUUUUUUUUUGAAAGUUUGAAGAUUGAUUAUUUGCUUCAGGGGUGAUGGAUCCAGCUGUAUAAUACCACAAUUGUUUAUAAAGAUUCAACUUUGGAAUCCAUUUAUCCAAUUUUGGUUGCAGGAAGCUGUGUCCUGAUUUGCAGAGAGGAAGGAGAGAGUGAGGUACUGGGACACGGCUAAGUAAACCACAUCAGAAAGAAUCAUGAAACAAACAGAAAACCGAAAAGGGUCGACAUCAACUCCCACACAUAUAUGUCAACUCCCCACCACAUGAGACGAUCUGCAGACCAAUCUUAGAAGACCAAGUUGUUCUGCUCAUGUCCAAGCAUCCAAUCAAGCCAAGUAGCAAAACGAGUGGAACCCUCAUUUUCAAUUGUAUUUUCAUUGUGUCAUCGGAAAAGAAAUUGUAUUUUCUUCCAUUCCCACAUAGGACAAUCAUGCAUAUAUAGAUAGAAAAGGGGUUAAAAAUGGGGGGUUUCGCAGAACAGGUAGUAUCUAUAUGUGUAGGACUAUUUCAACGAGCUAGGUGAUGAUUGCUCUGUGCUGUGUUCUUCAGUUUCAAUAUUGGUAUUGGGAAGCCGGUGUGCCACUAAUCUAUUCUAUUAAUCUAUGGUGAUCAUUUUCCAGCUAGUUCAUGAACAUGUCAAAAGAUUGGACUAAGCAUCCUAUAUGUGCUCGACAUUUUUAUGCAACAAUGUGGAUACGUAUCCUCCCUUAGGUUGCCAAAUGGACCUGUAACAAUAUACAGAAUAAGCUUAACUAUCUACUUAUUUUCUUUGCAAGCAUAUAUUGUAGUUUAUAUUUGUAAGGUUUAAGGUUGAGCAGUCUUAGGUUUUAGACGUACGUAUGUAUCGAUCUGGGGUUGAGUAAUAGUUGUAUAUAUACAGGCAUAUAGCUUUCUUUUCCUUCCUAUCAUUUCUACAGAUCGCCUUUCUUCUUCUUCUUCUUCUUCUUCUUCUUCUUCUUCUUCUCGGUGAGCAUAUGUACGGCCUUUUACAAUAAGGAUCGUUUAUCUUCAAGAUCACUCUUUAAUGAUCCUUUCUACUACAAUCAAGAUCAACAAAACUGCAAUGCAUAUCGUUUGACUGAUCUAUAGUGCGAAAUAAAGAAAUAUGUAUGUUAAUAGUUAAGCAUAACUAGUUAUCCAAUAACGUUCAUAUGGAUUAUAUAGAACUUUUUGUUUUAAGAAAAUUGGGUGUCAAUCAAGUAAAAGUAUAAAUUAUUAUAAACUAUAUAGCUCACUUAAGGAGGGUUACAAUAAAAUUGAUUAAUUUCCGGUGACAUAUUGGUCUAAGACUACCUUGCAAGCUAAACAAUGCCACUUAAAAGUUGUAACAAUUCAUUGGAAGAAAAAUAAAGCUAACGAUAAUAAUGGUUGGCCUCUCCAUUUUUCUUUUUCACCCUAUCGCGCCCCAUCUUUUGAUGUUCGAACACAUGACCUCUUAGUAAGAAGAUAAGGUCUUAUUACCCCGCCAAACAAACUUCACUCCAUUUACCAUUUGCAGUUUGUCUUGGUAACAUAUAUAAACAAAAGGAGAGCUUCUAAUGAUGACCUUAUAAUGAGGACUAAUUGAGGAUUUUCAAAUGAAUGGUUGGAUGAAUGUUUUAACUUUUAAUUGAUAUUUUCAAAUUCCUAUGUGCAUGUAAUCCAACCGUUCAUUCGAAAGUCCUCACUUGGUCCUCAUUAGAAGCCCCCCUAUAAACAAAACUAAAAUGACACAAGUUAUUCAUAUAAACAAUCAAACAUGGCUUAAAUUCACAAACACAUAGGAGUACACAUCAAAUAAUUUGAUUUUUUGAGCAAAGAGCGGCAUCUUACUAAUAUACGGCAAUACCGUGUGCCGAUGUGAAUGAAGCUCAUUAUACGAAGCCGGCAAUUGCGCCAACAAGGGACCCAAAAUAUAUACUUCUUCUUCCUCGCAUUCCAUUUCUCCUAUAUUUUCAAUCUUUUCUUUGCAAGAAAUGAAAAGAAACCUAAUUUGAUGCAACUUCGAUCAUAAUUUCAUUUUCUAAUGUACGAGAAAAAGGAUAAAACAUAACGACCAAAACAGCAAAAUACAAGAACACAGCUGAAAGGUAAGACACAAAGAAAGGUCGACUUAGUUUGCAAAUAGGAAGCAGCAGCAUACAUUUUCUAUAUAUGAUAAUGCACUAUAACGUAGUAAACAUACUGAUCGACCAAAGAAGCCCACAGCAUCUCACUCCCUCUAUUAUAAUCCUAAGUACCAGCUGUUCUUUAUAUUUGAUUAUAAGCGUUGAACGCUUUUUGGUGAAUCUUAUUUCCGGUAACCAGGACGUUGAAUGACGUUGAGAUUCAAAAGAGGUCGAGAUUCUAUUUUGAUUUAAAAAAAAAAAAAAAAAAAGGUAGACCUAAUUUACCCCAAAUUUUCAACGUUUUCUUUUCUGAUUUGUAGUUUUUGAUGUUUUAUUAUACGAUUGUAACAAGUAUUACAAAAAACUUUGGAGUUUGAUGUCAGUAAAAACAUGACAACAAAGCAAUGAUAUGUAUGCCAUACGAAUAAAUAGAAAAAAAAAAAUGUUCUUUAUAAUUCACACAAUAUAAGCCGUUCUUGAAAUAGGGUAUCUAGGUACAAGCACCAUGGGACUCAAGUCCCACUCAAAUAUUUUGGGGAAAAAAAUUACUACUUAUAGUUAUCAUUAAUUUUAUGGUGUGAUUGUAAGAUUGUUGAGCUUAAGCCCCACUCAAAUUCCUUCAUCUUGUACAAUUACUAAUCAAAUAUUUUUUAGGAUAGUCUCACUCAAGUCCUAGCUAGCAUUGACGUGAUCCAAGUGCCUAACGUAUACUUAAUUUCAUUUUUGUUAAAAAAAGAGAUAAGUUUAUCUAUUUUCUCAAAAAAGAUAUACGUCUAUGUUGUCUGUUGUCUUCUUUUCUUCCUUGUCAUACCCUUGUCACGCAGCAUCGGUGAGGACGCGAGGUUGUCGGUCUUAUUGAAAUGCUUAUUUAAUUUUUUUUGUUGUACGUCUAAAGUGUUUUAUGAAUUAAACAAACAUUGAAGUGAUAAAGGCCCAUUACGUCCUUUAUGACUAGGCUUAUCUUUAUUUUUAAUCUAUAAAUUUCUCUAGCACCGUCAAAAAAACAUUUCUUACCAAAAAUUCAAAUCCCACCCGAUUACGAUUCCUGGAUCCGCCCCUGGGAUGAGAGUAAAAAUUCAAGAGUUCAAAUGCGGUUAUGUCAGUUUGUUAUCAUUGUGCUCAUCAGUCAUCAUGAUAAAUAGAUGCUUGACACGCCAUACAUAUGCUGCGCGCUAUCAUUGUGUUCAUCAUGAUAAAUAGAUGCUUGAGACACCAGAUGCCGAAUAAUGCUAAUUAAGGAGUUUUGGUUUUCUAAUGAGAAUGCUAAUUAAGGAGUUGUAAUGGCCUGUUGGUAGAGAAAUUGACAUCGGGCCAUUGCCAUCUGGUGAUUCCAGUGCUCCAAGAGUGGAUGGAUGGCAAUGAGACCUUCCACCAAAACAAAGCCUUGAUCAAAUGCACAACACGAAUUUGCCAACUUUGUUCUUUACAACUGAAAGGAAAAACCCUCCAGACUACUUUGAUUCCAAGUUAGCUGUAGACAUAUAAAAUUUAACGAUAAUAAUAAUUGUUGAAUUAUUCAAACGAUGCGUGAGCCCAACAAAUUACAUACGUGGCUCGUGAGUUGGCAAAAUUGAAAAGUCGUUGGAAAUGACAAGUGGCGACAGGCGACGUGUAAAUGGUCGGCCGACAACAAAACCUUACAUCUCGACUAAAAUCAAUUAUUAAAUGUCGAUCGAUAAUCAGAUAUCAAUUAAAUUAAAUUGAUUAUCGAAAACGGAAGUCGGACAUUUAAGCCAAAUCGGUUAUACCUUAUCGGUCAUAAUUAAAUCAAUCACUUAAGACUGAUUGAUUUAAUUAUGUUAAAAUUAAUAAUUAAAUCAACCAAUCAAAACUGAUUGAUUUAGUUAUUACCGUUAAGGAAAUACAAUUAAUUCGGUGUCUUCAUUACAUGCCAUAAACGGAGGUAUGUUGACACUAUAAAUAUCCCCUCUCAUAUCAAGGGGAUGACUUCCGACAAGAGAGAAAAAUUACUCCUGAGAGCUCAGAAGUCUCCCAAAACCCUUGAAGAAUCAUCAAGCUGUCAAAUAACUGAUUCUUCAUCAACCUCAAGCCGAGAAGUUGUCAAUUACCGAAGAGUCACUAAGUUGCCAAAUAGCCGACAUCUUGACCAACUACAAGAGGAAGAGCAACCACCACAUGGAAAAGUUCAUGGCCCAAACCCGAUCAACGUCAAGCCUCUACGGCCCUUGAUCAACCCUCGUCUUCAAGCCUUUCAACAAAUCAAAACUUCUACCAAGUUCUUCAACAAGCUUGUGGAGAAUCAACAAGCACCAAACACAGGUGACGAUUCAUCUGCUAUCAAGCUAAAGAACAUUCACCACGUGACACCUCUCGUGGCCCAAAUUCGACCAAGAUCAAGCCUAGCCUCUACGGCCCUUGGUCUACUUCCUUCUACAAAUCGUCAACACGAUAAGAAGUUCAAACUACAACAGUUCAAUUUAAAAUCAAGUGCUCGCCACCCUUGGAUUAAAUCAGCGUCGGAGAUCGAAUAAGAGGGCAUUCUUAAUAAAAGAAUACCCACAGAGAUUGUAACCCGCAAAUUCAAUCAAUACAAAUAUAUUAUUUUGCACACAUGUCUUUCUGUUAUUCGUUACAGGAAUUUUCGUGUUUACACUAGCUACAUAGAAUUUAAAGAUGCUUCACCCCACAAAAAUCCAAUAGGAAAAUAGACGCCUACAACAGCAGUAAAGCUAAGCAAAGCUUAGGAUCCAUUAAAGAGACUGUAAGAUGGAAUUAACGUACUGUAACAGAAGUGCAGCCCAUAAUGAAGCAGAUGUUUUGUCACUGCAUAUAGCCCACUAGUUUAUUUGGACUCCAAGUUCAUAGUUUCAUUCCUUUCUUUCCCUCUUGAGUCUCAUGCAUCCGUUUCAUCACUUCAUGUCAUCAAGAACAUGAACUGUGCCUUUAAUGGUAGAUGUUUUUGUGUCUUUGCCUCUUUGGGAAUGUAUCUAAACGAUGUGACAAAUUGGAUCUCUUAUUCCUUUUUACGGAAGAGAAUCGGAUACAGCCAACUAUCAAAAGGGGCAGUUCAAAGUUGAGCACAAUUUCUUUGGAUAGAAAAUGGAUUAGGUGAAUACUACAUGAAAAUAAGAUGCUCUUAUUCAUUAACCAACAGAUAGCAGUAUCUUGAUCGACACUGCGAUCACGGCCGAAACAACACACUCACUCGAUAACACAGCUACAAUUACAAGUUACAAGAAUUAUUACUCAUCUAGCUACAUUCUACAGACCAAGAGUAAAUGGAAAACCAGUAGCACUCAACCAACUUCCACCAGCAAUAAAAUUCCCUGGUGUGAAAGCCUGAGCUUCUGUGGCGCUUGUGAUCACCUUGUACCCCUUCCACGUCACCCUGUUUGAAGUCGAAGCUCCAGCUCCAGUGUUAGCAUACUCAGCAUAGAACAAUGUGUCUAGGGCAAAAGUCCCACUCCACUCGUACCACCCAGCAGGGUCGAUGAUAUCAGUAAUGGAAGAUUGCAUAAUCACAGUCCUAGAGUACUCCUUCCACGGCCUUCCCAGGUAUGUCUUAAAGCUACCCUUCACGGCUUGAAGGUCAGAAGUGGCACCAAUCCUUGAUUUUUGGAUCACAAUGCCGGUGUUCUGGUUGGGGUCGGUUCUCCCUUGGGCUGUGAGCAUGUUCUUCUGGCCAGAGUUGGGCUUUCGGGCAUGGAUAUCACAAUUUUGUAACACAACUGCAGCAUUGCCAAAGAUGAAAUCGACUGUGCCCGCAAUGAAGCAGCCCUCGAAGAACUGACGGUUGGAGUGGACGUAGAGGGAGUCUUGGUACGCAAGAAUGUCACAGCGGUAGAAGGCCGAAAGAUCGGAACCGACACGGAGAGCAACUGCUUGGUGCUUUGAGGGACCUGCAGUGUUCUGGAAGGUGAUGUCUCGGGCUAAGAAUCCCGCACCAACCGCCGCUGCAACCACACAGAUUUAUACGUUAGGGCAUGACAAGUAUAUUUACAUAGUAUAAAGAAGUUCUUAUACGAAUAUAGGUACAUAUACCAGAUAUAAUACACUAUUUCAAAGUAGAUAAAGAUAUUAUGUGUCCCGUUUAAUUUGGGAGCUAGCUAGCUACUCUGCUAGUGUAUUGUGUUUAUUGUUUAGUUAAUAAGGUGAGCCAUAGUAGUUUGGUAUGCUUGGUUUUGUGUGCGUGAAGACUGUGAACUGAAAUGGGUGAGACAUGAGUGCAAAUGCGAUUUUCAAAUGAGAAGAAGAUGGCAAAUAAUUAUUCUGGUUAAAUGGGGACAACAAUCAUCAAUAUAAUCCAUUAUGACUCAGCUAGAAAGAAGCUGGCUAGGACCAAACUCCAUGAAAGAAUCUAACCAACAGGGAACAAAAGAAGUAAAGUCUAUAGAAUAAAGACAGAGGAUAGGAAAGAUAUAAUAAAAUCCAUACACAUGCACAUUAUUCAGAUCGGAUGUCAUCGAAAAACUAUGCACCUUUUAAAAAAAAAAACUAUGCACAUUAUUCAGAUAAUAUGAUUCUCGACCUCUCAAUACGUAUCUAUCACUUCAAAAAUUGUCUCUGUCAUUAUACAGAACAUACAGAACCAGAUGCACAAGGAAGCUGAGUUGAAAGGUUUACUUAGAAGUAAUACAAGACGGUGACACAUGGUGUAACAUGCCUUAAUGCUGGCUGCUAUUGCAAACCAAAAAGAGACAGAUUCUGAUCUCUAAGUCCAACAUAAUUUCGAAAAAAAAGAACUGGAGUGUCGGUGGUUACUAAGAUCUCAAUUAGGGUUUCAAACGUCCCAUGAUUCAAGCAACAACAAACGGGGAAGAAAGUUGUAAAAGCCAAUGAAAAGGAAAGUGGAAGAUGAUCGACGAAGCAUCCUACUGGGAUAUAUGAGCAGACUAAUACGAAUACAAAAAAAACAAAAGAACAGUAGAAAGACAACUUAUACCGUAAAGUCUUUAGGACCAAAAAACAAAGAGUUGAGUUGGUGGGUAUAAACAAAAGACAUUGCAAGCACAAAAAUUCAAAGAAAAAGGGCCAAAGGGAACGUCGAGCUGUAAACCACACAAGUACUCAUGCAGCUUAUAGAUUUAGACGCGAGGAGACAACUUCACAUUUCUAUAAUGACAUAUAUCUGAAUUUUGGAUGCCAAUUAAGAUAACGAAGAAGCACGAGAUAUCAUAACAAUGACAUUUACCCAGAAAAUUGAUAUGAAUCUGAAACUAAACAAGAGCUCCACACUAAUUCAAGUGUUCAGACACUGGAAUUAGGAGAACGCUGAAAAGCAAGAGAGAAUCAUGAAUACAAUCUAGCUAAUUGUAUGUAUGAUGAUGGUGAUUGUUCACCAAUAAACUAGCAAUCUUCAAGAUACGAAUAUCAGAAAGACAGACAAGUUUCUUUAAAAAAACGAUAGGCUUUUGUAAAAGCGCCAAUGCCAUGUGCUGGUUUUUGGUUUAUUGAAAUCAAAGCCAUGGACGACGAAAGUUUCAACACUUGGGAGAUGUUUAUAAAUUUCUGGCAGCCUGGGAUUGAUAUUUUGGAGGUCCUGCUUUGUCUAGUCAACUUAGGUGGACCAAUGUAGUUCUUAUAUAUUCUAGAUGAUGUCUAAAAAAUCGAAGUUUUCAAUGGUCCUAAAACACAGAGGAGAGGGUGAAUGGGACGACACGACAAAAACAGAGUCUCGCAGACGUUACCUUAUUUUCAUUUUUCAAGGAACAUGUUGAUUUCACACUAAAACUUAGAAGAAAAGUUAAAAACCUAAAUUAAAAUUCACUAUAAUAGAAGAAAUUUUAAUGCGGUGAACGUAUAAUGCAUAUAACGGAUGCUAACUUGGAAUAUAAACAAAAGGUAUGAUAUAUGUUUUUCAAUUUUGAGCGAAAAAUUGUUUAACUACACGAAUGACUGAAACCCUAAUCAAAGUUUUCUUUUUUCUUUUUAAAAUGGGAACCCUAAUCAAAGUUAUAAAGACGCAAUUUCAACAGAGAGCCAGUUUUUUUUUUUUUUUUGUCGAAGAAAAGAAAAAAGAAACAGUGUGCCAGGUUUUUAGUGAGAGACUGAGAGGCAAAGGUUUUUAGUGAGAGGCAAAAGGUGCACUAUUAUUUGUGCGUGGGAGUCACACAUGACAUAGCAAUGCCAUCAUAUAUGGAGGCGGGAGGCCUAUCCAAUACUGUCACCCCCAAGUUGGCUCACACUGCCCUCAGUAAAGGCAUGGAGAUAUCACGCUACCCUAAGUAAAGGCAUGGAGAUUUCAAUACAUGGAACCCACACGACAUGAACCUAGAAAGACAUCCAUCCGAUGAUUAUCCAAAUAUAUCUUUUUUAUCGGAUGAUUAUCCAAAUAUAGAUAUCGUCAAGAGGUUAAAAACAUAAACAAAACACAAGUGGUAAAUGAAAAUUAGCUAAAGAUAAUGUAAUGUUAUUGGAGUACUUACCCACUGUGGCGGAAUUGAAGGUUGUGUCACCAUCGACCACAUUUCUACUUCCGGUAAUAAUUGUGGUAGUCCUCCCAUCGCCCAAAAACAUUAUGUUCGUCUUGGCCUUUGGCACAUCCACAUUUUCUCUAUACACACCGGCCUUGAUUCUGAUCACGUAUCUGCUGGUACUCUUUGACGGUGCGGCCGCGACCGCCUCCGAUACUGUCUUGUAAUUUCCGCUUCCGUCGGCAGCCACGAUCACAUUCGGUGUGACAGUAGAGGAUUGCAAGAGAUGUCUAUCUGCGGCGGAGAGCCACUCCGGCCAUCCCUCUGAACGUUCCUCCUUUAGCUUCCGGUUAGUCGUGGAGGACAUUGCUUUCAUCUCGUUUGCAAUGUCGUUAUCAGUCAUGUUUUUAAUCAUGGCCAGCGCAUUGCUGCACAACUUUUCUACAUAUUUCUGUACAGAAAAAAAUACAGUAAUGUCAAUUAAAUUACGUCGGUGCAAAUUAUAGAAACAAGUAUAUCACUAUGUAGAAAUUAAAGUAGGAACAAACAAAAUAGUGUAUGACGUAUAUGUUUUCCCAUUUGCUUGUUAGUCUCACUUGCUCUAGAUAAAACUAAUGUUCAUGGGGGAAAGUGAAAACUAGCUUGACUAAAUAUAUAUGUAACCGUAGCGAUCGAGAUUUCGGACAGAAACGUUACCUGACCCUUCUCCAACGAUUUCCGAACUAUUUUAUCAGCCUCGGCGUGAGAAAAUCCGUCAAGACAAGUCUCCUGGUUGGUAAUGGCGGAGCUUAUCAACGUCUUGAGAUCGUCGGCAUGAGCAGUCAGAGUCUUGUUGAUGCUCGGGUACUGAAACAGAUCCUUCACCGCCUCAUGGAGCUCAUCGAGAGUCUCAUCAAUUGUCUCCAGGCAGUCGUGCAAGGCGCACCUCUCGCGCUUGGUGAGGCUCUUCACGAGCUUCUUGAUCAGCUUCUUGAUGGUGAAGAAGUUGUGCUCCACCGCCGUGAUGGUGAUGUUAAGGGAAAGCCCGAUCACGUCUUUGAAGCUGGUGACGUUGGUGGUGGCGGCAGNGGUGGCGAGGGUGGAGAAGCAGAGCUCGGGGUANGGGUGGAGCUGCAUGAUUUUCACGAUAGCGUGAGCGGCGGAGAGGGUCUCAUUGUCGGAGUUGGAGUUUUUGUUUUGAACUCCGGUGGCAAUGCCGAUAACGGCAGCGACUAGAAGAACCGUGGCUAUAAAGGCCAAGAAGAGCUUCUUGUGGCUUUUGGAUUGGGACACUCUGGCCAUGAACUCUUUAAUUG
rnacentral:lncRNA from 1 species